rnacentral:rRNA from 1 species
ACGGAAGGUCCAGGCGUUAUCCGGAUUUAUUGGGUUUAAAGGGAGCGUAGGCUGGAGAUUAAGUGUGUUGUGAAAUGUAGACGCUCAACGUCUGAAUUGCAGCGCAUACUGGUUUCCUUGAGUACGCACAACGUUGGCGGAAUUCGUCGUGUAGCGGUGAAAUGCUUAGAUAUGACGAAGAACUCCGAUUGCGAAGGCAGCUGACGGGAGCGCAACUGACGCUUAAGCUCGAAGGUGCGGGUAUCAAACAGG